rnacentral:rRNA from 1 species
UUCCAGACUCCUACGGGAGGCAGCAGUGGGGAAUAUUGCACAAUGGGGGAAACCCUGAUGCAGCGACGCCGCGUGAGUGAAGAAGUAUCUCGGUACGUAAAGCUCUCUCAGCAGGGAAGAAAAUGACGGUACCUGACUAAGAAGCCCCGGCUAACUACGUGCCAGCAGCCGCGGUAAUACGUAGGGGGCAAGCGUUAUCCGGAUUUACUGGGUGUAAAGGGAGCGUAGACGGCAUGGCAAGUCAGAUGUGAAAGCCCGGGGCUCAACCCCGGGACUGCAUUUGAAACUGUCAGGCUGGAGUGCAGGAGAGGUAAGUGGAAUUCCUAGUGUAGCGGUGAAAUGCGUAGAUAUUAGGAGGAACACCAGUGGCGAAGGCGGCUUACUGGACUGUAACUGACGUUGAGGCUCGAAAGCGUGGGGAGCAAACAGGAUUAGAUACCCCCGUAAU